rnacentral:rRNA from 1 species
UGGGGAAUUUUGCGCAAUGGGCUAACGCCUGACGCAGCAACGCCGCGUGGAGGAUGAAGGUCUUUGGAUUGUAAACUCCUGUCAGCAGGGAAAAAGCAAUAGGCGCUCAUACCGCCUAAAGUUGAUUGUACCUGCAGAGGAAGCCCCGGCUAACUCUGUGCCAGCAGCCGCGGUAAUACAGAGGGGGCAAGCGUUAUUCGGAAUUAUUGGGCGUAAAGGGGGCGCGUAGGCGGCUUGGCAAGUGGAUGGUGAAAUCCCUCGGCUUAACCGAGGAACUGCCAUCCAGACUGCUUAGCUUGAGACCGGGAGAGGUGAGUGGAAUUCCCAGUGUAGCGGUGAAAUGCGUAGAUAUUGGGAGGAACACCAGUGGCGAAGGCGGCUCACUGGACCGGUACUGACGCUGAUGCGCGAAAGCGUGGGGAGCAAACGGGAUUAGAUACCCCGGUAGUCCACGCCGUAAACGAUGAGUGCUUGGUGUAGCGGGUAUCGACCCCUGCUGUGCCGAAGUC